UACAGAGGUCUCAAGCGUUGUUCGGAUUCAUUGGGCGUAAAGGGGGCGUAGGCGGCGCGGUAAGUCGGGUGUGAAAUCUCGGAGCUUAACUCCGAAACUGCAUUCGAUACUGCCGUGCUUGAGGACUGGAGAGGAGACUGGAAUUUACGGUGUAGCGGUGAAAUGCGUAGAUAUCGUAAGGAAGACCAGUGGCGAAGGCGGCCCCCUGGUUGGAUACUGACGCUGAGACGCGAAAGCGUGGGGAGCAAACAGG
rnacentral:rRNA from 1 species